GAUGAACGCUGGCGGCGUGCCUAAUACAUGCAAGUCGAGCGAACAGACGAGGAGCUUGCUCCUCUGACGUUAGCGGCGGACGGGUGAGUAACACGUGGAUAACCUACCUAUAAGACUGGGAUAACUUCGGGAAACCGGAGCUAAUACCGGAUAAUAUAUUGAACCGCAUGGUUCAAUAGUGAAAGACGGUUUUGCUGUCACUUAUAGAUGGAUCCGCGCCGCAUUAGCUAGUUGGUAAGGUAACGGCUUACCAAGGCAACGAUGCGUAGCCGACCUGAGAGGGUGAUCGGCCACACUGGAACUGAGACACGGUCAAGACUCCUACGGGAGGCAGCAGUAGGGAAUCUUCCGCAAUGGGCGAAAGCCUGACGGAGCAACGCCGCGUGAGUGAUGAAGGUCUUCGGAUCGUAAAACUCUGUUAUUAGGGAAGAACAAAUGUGUAAGUAAAUAUGCACGUCUUGACGGUACCUAAUCAGAAAGCCACGGCUAACUACGUG
rnacentral:rRNA from 1 species